rnacentral:sRNA from 1 species
CCUUUGGAGUGUUACACCAAACGAGAGUAGCUUCUUAAGCAAAAUCGGACACAAUGAAAAAGGAA